AUGUCCCAGCCGACUGGAGAUUGUCCUCCUGGUUAUGCUUGUCCUCCAGGAACAGGGUGGCCUUUCUCUUUCCCAUGCCUGCCUGGCUCCUACUGGGAUAAUUCCACCACAAAUCCGGGAGAUGUAUGUAAACCAUGUCCCUCUGGAUUCUACUGUGACUCUGUUGCUAUGACCCAACCCAAAGUAUGUCCAUUGGGGUUCUACUGUGCCAGUGCCAGCUCACAGCCUGAAGCUUGCCCAGUGGGCACUUUUGGAAGCAGGAAAGGUUUAUCAGCCCUGGAAAAUUGCAGCCCGUGUGGAGCAGGCUUCUAUUGUGCUACUCAUGGACAGACUGCCCCAAGUGGUCGUUGUGAGGCUGGCUUCUAUUGCUGGAGCAGAGCAGUGUCACCACUGCCCACAGAUGGAAUCACUGGGAACGUUUGCCCACCUGGGACUUACUGCCCACCUGGAUCCUCUGUUCCCAUCCUCUGCCCUCCAGGAACCUACAGCAAUACCAGUGGAUUGAAACACUUGAAACAAUGUUUGGACUGUCCACCUGGGUUUUACUGUGAUGGAGUGAAUCCACAAGCACCCACUGGGCUUUGCAAACCUGGCUACUUCUGUACAGGCGGUGCCAAAACAGCCACCCAAAUAAUGGCAAAAGAAGGGCAUUAUGCUCCAGAAGGGGCCACCCAGGCAGAACCGUGCCCUCCUGGAAAGUUCCAGCCGAGUCUGGCCCAGUCCACUUGCAGAGAAUGCCCGUCGGGGACGUUUUGCAACCGCACUGGCCUGGUUGAACCCUUGGCUUGUCCCAAAGGAAAUUACUGCCCAGCCGGGAGUGUUCAGCCCCUUCUUUGCCCAGUGGUAAGAUGUUUAAAACUGGCACAAAUUCCUCUGUUACCAAAAUCCAUGGGAAUCCGAAGAAAAUGAAAUCCAC
rnacentral:lncRNA from 1 species